rnacentral:rRNA from 1 species
UACGAGGGGUGCAAGCGUUGCUCGGAAUUACUGGGCGUAAAGCGCACGUAGGCGGCUUUCUAAGUCGGGGGUGAAAUCCUGGAGCUCAACUCCAGAACUGCCUUCGAUACUGGAGAGCUCGAGUCCGGGAGAGGUGAGUGGAACUGCGAGUGUAGAGGUGAAAUUCGUAGAUAUUCGCAAGAACACCAGUGGCGAAGGCGGCUCACUGGCCCGGUACUGACGCUGAGGUGCGAAAGCGUGGGGAGCAAACAGG